GACAACUCGCGGGGAUUGUUUUCCACACCGUGGAAGCUUUGUUCUUUUCGUUUUUUGCAAUAAAUCUUGUUGCUGCUCGCUUUUUGGGUCCACAUUGCUUUUAUGAGCUGUACCACUCACCGUGAAGAUCUGCAGCUUCACUUCAGAGCCUAGCGAGACCACAAGCUCACUGAGAGGAACAAACAACUCCAGACGCGCUGUCUUAAGAGCUAUAACACUCACCGCGAAGGUGUGCAGUUUCACUCCUGAGCUAGUGAGACUACGAAGCCACUGGAACGAAGAAACUCCAACCACGUUUGAACAUCAGAAGGGGCAGACUCCAGACGCUUCAUCUUAAGAGCUGUAACACUCACUGUGAAGGUCUGCAGCUUCACUCCUGAGCCAGCGAGACCACGAACCGAUCUGAACAUCAGAAGGGACAGACUCCAGAUGCCCCACCUUAAGAGCUGUAAUACUCACUGCAAGGGUCUGCAGCUUCAUUCUUGAAGUCAGACCAAGAACCCAGCAAUUCCCAACACACAGGGACCAGCUUCUUUCCUAACUCACUUAGGCUCUUCGUGCUGCUCUGGCAACUAACACCCUUGGCUGCAGGGGCUUGGACACUACCCUUAGUCACUGACAAUUGUGUGAAGGCUGCUGUCGUUAACUUCACUUGAUCACCUUAGGCUCCUGUGAAGUGGUGAGCAAUUCAAACAAAUUCCUGUCGUCAAAUCAUGAUAUACAUCUUUCCACACCAAUAGACCUUGUUUUCCGAUGUAGCAUUAUUUUUCAUAGUUGGCGAAUAUACAGUUAUGGAUUCAUAACAGCAAGAUGGAGAAAUUGCACUGCAGAGAAAUCUUUAAAAGCAAUUACCUAAUACUGCAGAUUGCUGAACUGUACCCACACCCAAGACUGAGCAUUGGAUCAAUCCAGAAUAUACAUCAGGUGUUCUGCAAUGUCUGCCUAAAACCAUGACUCUGCCUCCUCCAGCUGUUGCUACAUCUCACUAUGGGUUUCCUGUGACAUUUUGAGCAAGUAUGCCUCUGUGACUGGGGUUCUUACACUCCAGAAUGGAUGAGAAGCACCGUAAGUGGCUUUUAAAAUGAAUAUUCCCUGGCCCUUCAGUCGCUCUAUAGGUCAAGAAUCUGAAUUCUCAACCUGUCUAGAAGGUUCUGGUUUUAAUGGUCUGUGGGCUGCACAUUGAGAAACCUGUUCAGCGAGUGCAACAAAGGUUCCACAUGUGAGAAAGGAAGCAUCAGGUCUCUUGAGCCUGUUCUUUAAUCUGUAGGCUGCACCUUCUCUUUAAAUUCUGCUAAUAACACCAUGCGAGAAAACACCCGAGCUUGAAAAGCCCAUGUUCCAACAUAACUGUCCUUCACCACUCUGGAAAAUUAAUGGUUUGUUUCGAUUAUCCCUUUGUUAAACUCCAAAGUCAAAGAGCUCUGAAAGGCAUACGGUUAUUUUAAGUUUCAGGUGAUUUCUGUUGCCAAAUAUUUUAAAAAUUUAAAAUUGCUACGUGACCUCUUAGUAGUACUAUUAGAUUUCCUGACAAUAAAAAUAAGUCUUUUGGUUUCACCAUUUAUAGUUAGUACAGCUAAUAUUAAGUAUAAUUUUAAAAGCCUUUUAUUUUCUCAGAAAGAAAAAAUAAUCAAAAUCUGCUCAGUGUGGUAUUGAAUAAUUAAAAACAAAAGAACAGUAUCUUCACAUUAGUGUUUAAUAUUAAUUGCUUUUUUACCCUUGACACUGGUGCUAAUUAAAUUUUCAUUUUAUUUUCCAUGACUUGUUUAAACAGUUUUUGCAAAUUAUUGCUAAUCAGCCUAAUAAAACUGAAUCACCUAUUAAACAAUUUUGUUUUGAAUUAAAUGGCAUUAAAA
rnacentral:lncRNA from 1 species